CCCUUAGAUGUUCUGGGCCGCACGCGCGCUACACUGACGAAUGCAACGAGCUUAUAACCUUGGCCGAAAGGUCUGGGUAAUCUCCAAAUUUCGUCGUGAUGGGGAUAGAUUAUUGCAAUUAUUAAUCUUCAACGAGGAAUGCCUAGUAAGCGCAAGUCAUCAGCUUGCGUUGAAUACGUCCCUGCCCUUUGUACACACCGCCCGUCGCUCCUACCGAUUGAAUGGUCCGGUGAAGCGUUCGGACCGUGGCCUUUGGACGGUUCGCCGUCUGUUGGCUGCGGGAAGUUCGUUAAACCUUAUCAUUUAGAGGAAGGAGAAGUCGUAACA
rnacentral:rRNA from 1 species